rnacentral:rRNA from 1 species
GAUGAACGCUGGCGGCGUGCUUAACACAUGCAAGUCGAACGGAAAGGCUCCUGCUUGCAGGGGUACUCGAGUGGCGAACGGGUGAGUAACACGUGGGUGAUCUGCCCUGCACUUCGGGAUAAGCCUGGGAAGCUGGGUCUAAUACCGGAUAGGACGAUGGUUUGGAUGCCAUUGUGGAAAGUUUUUCGGUGUGGGAUGAGCUCGCGGCCUAUCAGCUUGUUGGUGGGGUAAUGGCCUACCAAGGCGUCGACGGGUAGCCGGCCUGAGAGGGUGUACGGCCACAUUGGGACUGAGAUACGGCCCAGACUCCUACGGGAGGCAGCAGUGGGGAAUAUUGCACAAUGGGCGCAAGCCUGAUGCAGCGACGCCGCGUGGGGGAUGACGGCCUUCGGGUUGUAAACUCCUUUCGCUAGGGACGAAGCGCAAGUGACGGUACCUGGAGAAGAAGCACCGGCUAACUACGUG